UUUAUAUGUUUGUUGGACGUUAUCAAAUUGUUUACAAAUUUGUUAAUCGUUGCUACAAACUCUGUAUCAUUAAAUCACUAUUUUGAGCAAGAAUGUGGAAAUAAUGGCCAAUUAACCUUUAAGGCCAUGUGAGAGCGAGUAUAAUGGAGCAUGAUGGUUGACGGAAGGCUCGAAAGCGGAAUGGUUGCCAUUUAUGGGGUAUAGUAUACUAGAUUUGUGUGCUAGAACUUAUUAUAAACCACCAUAAAGACGAGAUAUGGGAGCAUUUUUGACAUCCUGGACGCCUACCAUAGUUUAAGCAAGUCUUGUAACCAAGGAUUGACAAGACCACUUCAAUGUCUGCUAGAAGUGCCUUAAAGUUUUGACGUGAGAUGGGUCCCUAGGCCAGCUACUGUGGAAUUUUUAUAAUUCGGCGAAUUCGCGCGGCGCCUUUCACAUUUUUUAUAAAUAGCGGAAGCGCCUUUUGAUGUUUCCUUUUAGAACUUUCUAUAUAUUAUUUAUUUAUUUUUAUAUUAUAUUUAUUUCAAAUAAUUUCAAGGAAAGUCUAUUUAUUUGUUUAUUUUUUUUUCUAGAACUUUCUAGAAUUGUAUAUAGGUAAAUAAAUGAUUUGU